UACGUAGGGCGCAAGCGUUAUCCGGAAUUAUUGGGCGUAAAGAGCUCGUAGGCGGUCUGUCGCGUCGGAUGUGAAAAUCCAGGGCUCAACCCUGGACCUGCAUUCGAUACGGGCAGACUAGAGUUCGGCAGGGGAGACUGGAAUUCCUGGUGUAGCGGUGAAAUGCGCAGAUAUCAGGAGGAACACCCGUAGCGAAGGCGGCACUCUGGGCCGGAACUGACGCUGAGGAGCGAAAGCGUGGGGAGCGAACAGG
rnacentral:rRNA from 1 species